ensembl:snoRNA small nucleolar RNA, H/ACA box 5C
UGCAGUCGAGUCAAAUUCAGCCUUCGUCUCACUGUGGCAGAGGCUGGCCCAAGUGGCUGCUACAGUGAGCUCCGCCGCUCAUGGGCUCCGGGUCCCCUGUCUGGCCCCGGGGAUGAAUUUGGCUGCGGACAGAG